rnacentral:rRNA from 1 species
GACAGAGGUCUCGAGCGUUAGGCGGAAUCACUGGGCUUAAAGCGUGUGUAGGCGGACUUGUAAGUACCUUGUGAAAUCCCACGGCUCAACCGUGGAACUGCUUGGUAUACUGCUUGUCUUGGGCCAUCUAGGGGUUACCGGAACAAACGGUGGAGCGGUGAAAUGCGUAGAUAUCAGGAGGAACACCGAUGGCGAAGGCAGGUCUCUGGGCCAUUACUGACACUGAGAAGCGAAAGCAUGGGGAGCGAACAGG